UAGACUUGAAAAAGGGCCAGGGAGCCCCGAAACGCGUUUGUGAUUUUAAUUUAUUUGUUUGAGUUUGAGCUUUUUAGUUCCAGCUUUCUGUAUGUCAUUAUGACUUUCCUUAGGUGUUUGGAACUUGUUUUUAGUGCUAUUCAAGUUUGAAGUGUUGUGGAAUUAUAUGAACUACACUAACCUGUUGAAAUUAUAAGGUUUCACCAGGUAAUCAGCAACCUAUUGUUUCUCAGAUUUCUACCUAAGAUAAAGAUUGUCUAGUAGAUGUGGUGAGCGAGUGAUCAUAAAUAUUUGAAGGGAGGUUUCAUGAUAAAACUUUUUUGAAAGUGGGUAGCUACCACUAAUAUUGGCUAGCUAACUAUCACCCGCCCCAACGCUCAGCUGCGAGUUCUUUAUUUUCAUUUGUCAAUUUCUAUUGUGAUCUUUCAAAGUUUUUUUAUUUAUGCCUAAAUUUUGAUGAGUUGUUCCAUAAUUUUGAUUUACCAUUUUUUUUUUAAAUCAUCUUUAGCGAGAAAAACGGAGAAGUAGAAAUUAAAAAAAGUGACUGGAGUGAGCACACUGCACCUGGAGGAAGAGUAUACUACUAUAAUUCCGUGACAAAGCAAAGUCUGUGGGAAAAACCUGAAGAACUCAAGACACCAGCAGAGCUUUUACUCUCGAAGUGCCCUUGAAGGAAUAUCAGUCGGACACGGGGAAGUGUACUUUCAUAAUGUUAAUACUAAGAGUCUCGUUGGACUAUUCCUGAGGAACUUGAUGAGCUGAAGCAGAAAAUACUCGCUGAUGGCUUGGACUUGCCAACCACCAAUUUUCAAAGCUCAUCAGCUGUUAACUCUCCGAUUCCUAUUCCUACAGGUGAGGGAGUGAAUCAACAAAUCCCAAUUUUUUCACAAUUUUCAACAUAUCCCCCAUAAUUUGGUUUAGUUCUGCUAAAAAAUAAAAACAAAAAGUUUCAACAGUCCCCUUUUGCUCUUGAUCAGCAUCAGAAUUAGUAUGAGCAAAAUGCGGAUCGAUGCAUGAGUUGUUUGCACUAGUAUUGCACCAAACAUCAUCUUUCUCUAUGAUGAAAUAUCUUGCUUGAAUAAGUUUUUUCCCUCUCUAAUGAGAAUUUUAGUUAUAUCCUGAAUUUUAACGCCUGUUGCCAAAAUCAUCA
rnacentral:lncRNA from 1 species